rnacentral:rRNA from 1 species
GGAUCUCUUGGUUCUGGCAUCGAUGAAGAACGCAGCGAAAUGCGAUAAGUAAUGUGAAUUGCAGAAUUCAGUGAAUCAUCGAAUCUUUGAACGCACAUUGCGCCCUUUGGUAUUCCGAAGGGCAUGCCUGUUCGAGCGUCAUUACAACCCUCAAGCU